rnacentral:tRNA from 1 species
GCCAGCGUCGCAUAAUCCGGUAUUGCGCUGGUCUUGAAAACCAGUUCCUUUUGGAAUUCCCGGUUCAAAUCCGGGCGCUGGCG